rnacentral:lncRNA from 1 species
ACCGGUGGCCGGGCGGGAUGUAACCCGCUGCUGAGCUGGCAGCUCUGUGUCGCUAGGCUUCGGCCCGGCCGCCGCCGCACAUAAGCUGCGAGGAGGAGCUUUACGACUUCCCGGUCUUCGGGGCCGGGCGCAGCAAGGGCCAGACUCUGCGCUAGCAGGCGCUGCGCGCCAACCGGCCGGCACCUGUCGCAGAAGGUGCAACCGAUCGCACUGUCGCGCCGAAGCUCCUCAAUGGCCAGCGCCAGCUGCAGCCCCGGCCGCCCACUCGCCUCACCUGAGCCUGGGUACGUGCGCCCCACAACACCUCCCCCAGGCAGGGCCCGGGGACCCCCGGGAGCGUCCCCGGCUACCUGGCGCCGCUCAUCCUGGGUAGGGUUGGCCCCCUCUGAGGCUGCCCGGCAUGAGGGAGCUGCACCCCUGAGCUUGACCUCUGACGGCCCUUUGUAAUAGCAUUAAGUCUUUGAAACUUUGUAGCGGGGUAGAAGGGGCUAGGAAACGAAGAAAACAUCUUUUUAAAAAUAUAAGCGGUCGGCUGGGCGAGGUGGCCCACGCCUGUAAUCCCAGCACUUUGGGAGGUCGAGGCGGGUGGAUCACGAGGACAGGAGUUCAAGACCAGCCUGGCCAGCAUGGUUUCACUGAAACCCCGUCUCUACUAAAAA